rnacentral:ribozyme from 1 species
AUUAAUUUUAAAGAGGAAAGUCCGGACACCAAAGAGUAAUCAUAGUGGAUAACAUCCAUCCAGCGUAAGCUGAGGACAAGUGCAACAGAAAGCA